GACGAACCGUGCGAACGUUAUUCGGAAUCACUGGGCUUAAAGCGCGUGUAGGCGGGCCGGCACGUCGAAGGCUGAAAUCCCCCGGCUUAACCGGGGAACGGGCCUCGAUACGACCGGCCUGGAGGGGGGUAGGGGGAGCCGGAACUUCCGGUGGAGCGGUGAAAUGCGUUGAGAUCGGAAGGAACGCCCGUGGCGAAAGCGGGCUCCUAGACCCCACCUGACGCUGAGACGCGAAAGCCAGGGGAGCGAACGGG
rnacentral:rRNA from 1 species